rnacentral:rRNA from 1 species
AAAAGGUCGUAACAAGGUCUCCGUAGGUGAACCUGCGGAGGGAUCAUUACAAGUGAUCCCGGUCUAACCACCGGGAUGUUCAUAACCCUUUGUUGUCCGACUCUGUUGCCUCCGGGGCGACCCUGCCUUCGGGCGGGGGCUCCGGGUGGACACUUCAAACUCUUGCGUAACUUUGCAGUCUGAGUAAACUUAAUUAAUAAAUUAAAACUUUUAACAACGGAUCUCUUGGUUCUGGCAUCGAUGAAGAACGCAGCGAAAUGCGAUAAGUAAUGUGAAUUGCAGAAUUCAGUGAAUCAUCGAAUCUUUGAACGCACAUUGCGCCCCCUGGUAUUCCGGGGGGCAUGCCUGUUCGAGCGUCAUUUCACCACUCAAGCCUCGCUUGGUAUUGGGCAACGCGGUCCGCCGCGUGCCUCAAAUCGACCGGCUGGGUCUUCUGUCCCCUAAGCGUUGUGGAAACUAUUCGCUAAAGGGUGUUCGGGAGGCUACGCCGUAAAACAACCCCAUUUCUAAGGUUGACCUCGGAUCAGGUAGGGAUACCCGCUGAACUUAAGCAUAUCAAUAA